CAAAGAAUAGUUUAAUUUAGAAUCCUAGCUUUGGGAGCUAGGGGUGGGAGUUAGAAUCUCCCUUCUUUGA
rnacentral:tRNA from 2 species